AUGAGGCGGCGGCCGUGCGCUAGCCCCGAGCCCCGCGGUGCCGAGCACAGCAGCUGCAGCAGCGCCAUCAGGCACAGCAAGGCGCCCGGCAAGGUCCCCGUGCGGGCCCCGGCGCCGCCCAGCAGCGCGGCUAGCAUCGCGGGCAGCAGCGGCCGCCGGACGCGGUGCGGAGCGGAGACGAGGCUCGGGUGGCGGCGGGUGUUCGCUCCGGCACCGCGGCCGGGGCUCCCUGAGAAGCGCGGCGACGCAGGUCCGGGUCCGGUAGACGGUUGGAGGCGCUCAGUGCCGUUCCGGGGGGACGCGGCGAAGCUGCAGGAGCGCGCGGCGCCGGGGGUGCAUGGUGCUAGGCGCCUGCAGACAGUCGUGCGGCCGGCGGCUCCUCGGUUCCCGGCUCAGCGGCGCGUAGCACUUCGCAGCUCUGGCAUCCCGCCUUCCCGCGGCCAGGACGCUUGGUCCCCUCCCCCUCUACCCCGGUCUGGGCCGCGCUCCGGGAAGUUCUGGGCGCCAGGCGCAGGGAGGACCCCGAAACUCGGAGCGUUUCUCUGCUCCGAGACCCGGAGCUUGGGGAGCGGAUCCGCGGAGCCCGGCUGCGGACUAGCUCGCCGCGAGGCUUUAAAUACAAAAGUGGGCCGGGAGCCCCCGUGUGGUGCCGCGGCGCCCCCUCAUUAUGCAUGCAUAGAAAAGCAAACAAACAAAAACAUUAGCAACGCUCCUCCGGCUCGCCGAGCCCUGGCCCCGCGCGCUCCAGGCUUGCCCGCUUUCUCCUUUCUCCACUCUCCGGCGCCCUUUGCUCGGCCCCCUUCCCCGGCUUUGCGAGCUGCUAUUGGUCCAGCCUGUUGUUGUUGAAACUUUUUUUUUUUUUUCCGAGCCGCUGGAGUGGGGCUGCAGAGUGGGGGAGGGCGGUGGGCAGCUCACAUUCAGGCAUUCAGGGCUUGAAAGGAACGGCUUAGGGAGCCUGACACAGGCCCAGCUCCUCCCACUCUUCAGGAGGCUGGGAUACCGAACCCCAGCUCGCGCACAGAGCCAGCGGGCAGGGCUUAGGGCCAGCUGCCUGCAUCCGGCUCAGCCACCGGCCUUUUUGUUCCCUUCCUCCGCCCCCUUUUUGUUUGGGUGGGGGGACACUUUUAUUAAUUCUUACUGAUCCCCCAUCUUUGCAUCCGAGAAAGUUCGAAAGUCACUUUAAUUUUCAGGCUCCUCAUCUCUGAGUUCUGAUCACCUCGGGGGGUAUAGCGAAGGCAGGGAGUUUUGAGAAUUCAUUGUAAGACUUUAAAAACUUAGACACAGAUUGCGCGCGCGGGCACACACGGGUUCUCUCUCUCUCUCUCUGUCUCUGUCUCUGUCUGUCUCUCUCUGUCUCUCUCUCUGUCUGUCUCUCUCUCUGUCUCUCUCUGUCUGUCUCUCUCUCUGUCUCUCUCUCUCUCUCUCUCUCUCUCUCUCUCUCUCUCUCUCUCUCUCUCUCUCUCUCACACACACACACACACACCGAGCCACCAUCACAACCACGACCUCUACCACCACCACAAGAAGGACACUUUCCACCAGCUUUCAGUCCCCCUUUCCGGCAGGUAAGGCCCUCGCACUGGACAUCGUUUUCAAACUAAGAAAUCCAAAGAACUGAAACUAUUUCUUUACUCACGAUUUUUUUUUUUAAAUACGAACGGCAAUGACAAAUCUUAGCAUUAAAAACCCUGGGAAUGCUGAGCGCUACCACCUGGCUGCAGUUACAGCACAGAGGACGAGGGUAAAUUGACCCGCUACGUGCUUUAAACUGCACGUUUCAGUUCCUCGCUGUGUUUAAAGCAAAAGCCACCAGCAGAGCGGGCUUUGCAGUCAGAGCAGGACUCUCUCAAGCGACCUUAACUGUGGCGCAAUGCAGCUUUUGGCCACUAGAGGCACCGCGAGUCUGUGGCCUGUCAAAAACUGGCUCCUUCCUCUCCCCUUUCCAUGGUGAGACUAUCAACUCAGUCUGUCACAAAAUUUAAGGCUAAAUCGCUGCUGAAGCAAAGGAAGCCCCAGCUGCAGUGCGUUCAGAAAGUGGACUGUCCACCUCUCCAAAGAGUUAAAGAGUUUGAAAGGGCGAGAGUGAGGGCCUGACGGAUUAACCUGGCUUUUGGGAAAAGCUGGCUGCCUAGGCUGAGGAAGCUGUCUCUGAAACCUCACAGGAUGAGAGAGGCAGACUGAGCUGUGUGAAGCCACCGUGCUCCUACCCUAACCCUAAUUCAUGGUUAGGACCAUGAAUUUAGUAAUAGAAAACAAACGCAAAUCUAUCCUUAAAAACUAGCCAGAUGUGGUACAGCAAGCCUGUUUAUCCCAGGCAGAAGCGGGAGGAUCGCUGCAAGUUUAAGGACAGCUAGUUAGAUCCUGAGAGCUCCAGGCCACUUGCUUUGAGGUCAGAUUGCUCACUUGCUAAGGUCCUUUUUUAUCCUUAACAAUCUGUGAUCCUGAGCUCCUAAGAAGAAAGCCAGCCCUGGGAUGCAUCUUCUGGCUUCUUUAGAGAGCUCUCAAGACACCCUGCAGGAGAAUCAUCUGGAGACCUUGUGUUCAUAUCUGGAUUCCUAACUCUUUGAAUCUCUGACAGCUAAAACCCUGGAGGGCCUGAAAGUCUGCAUUUCCAACAAGAUUUAAGGCGGUGUGUGUGUGUGUGUGUGUGUGUGUGUGUGUGCGUGCGUGUGUGUGCGUGUGUGUGUGUGCGCGCGCGCGCGUGUGUGUGUGUGCGUGUGCGUGUGUGUGCAUGUGCGUGCGUGCGCGUGUGCGUGUGCGCGCGUGCGUGUGUGCGUGCGUGCGUGUGUGUGUGUGUGUGUGUGUGUGUGUGUGUGUGUGUGUGUGUGUAUGCGCGCGUGCGUGCAGUGUUACUGAUGCUUCAGAGCUGCUUACUGGGGGAAUGUUCUGACUGUGUUUGUUCUAAAGGUUACAAAUAGUUCACCUUUGCUGGUCACAUGAAUCCAUCUUAGCCUUGAUUCAGGUCUCAGUGGGAGCUAAGGGAGGUCACGAGUGCUCAUCCUGAAGACAUCUUUACAGACUCAUGGCCUUGACGUGGAAGGCCAGAGGAACAGGCAGCCACAGCAGGCUGUGUGCAUUCCCCUCUUUCAAAUAUAGGCUUUCCUGGGUCCUGGGCUUUCACUCUUUAAGGACACCAUGUCUAUGGAUUCUCCGUUCCCUCCUUCCUUCCCUGUCCCUUCUCUCCCUCCUCCCCUCUCCCGUUUCUCCCUCCCUCCUUCCCUUCCUCCUUCUUCCCCCUCCCUUCCUCCCUCCCUCCUCCCCUCCCUCCCUCUUUCCAUCCUUCCCCCCCCCCACCUCUCCUCUUAUUGACUUCUCACUCCUGAAGUCCCACCUGGCAUUUUACUCCCCAGUAGUUUCAGAGUAUCAGUCCAUGAUUAGCAUGGUGGGGAAGAGUGGUAGCAGGCAGGCAUGGUGCUGGAGUGGUGGCUGAGAGCUCACAUAUGAUCCUCAGUUGUAGACACAGGCUAGAGGAAUUACAAGGAGGAAUCGGAACUGGGUGAGGAAUAGAACUGAAAGGGACACUUGCUCUCAUGAUGGUGUCUACCUUAGAGUUUCUGUAGCCAUGCAUAGAUACCAUGACCAUGGCAACUCUUAUAAAGGAAUGCAUUUAAUUGGGGCUGGCUUACAGUUUAGAGGUUUGGUCCAUUAUUGUCAUAGAGGCAUGGCAGCAUGCAGGCAGGCAUGGUGAUGGAGAAGGAUCUGAGAAUUCCAAAGGCAUCAGAAAGAGACACUGGGCCUAGCUUAAGUAUCUGAAACCUCAAAAUCUGCCCCCCCCCCCCCCCCGCCCAGUGACACACUUCCUUCAACAAGGCCACAUCUACUCCAACAAAGCCAUGCCUCCUAACAGUGCCACUCCCUAUGAGUCUUUGGGUCAUUUUCAUUCAAACAACCACAGUGCUAUUAGGAGCCAAGGUCCUUCUUUUUAAAAAGCUAAACAGUAGACACAUUACUAAUAUUUUCUGAGCUCUGGUAUUGUCCCAAGAAGAACAAUAAAUCUUAGCCCAGUCAACCCAAAGUACCAUUAAGAAUAACACAGGAUGUGGGCUUAAGACCACAUUUAAUAUGGUUCUGUAUGUGGUGGGAGAUGACAAAAUGCUUCCCAUCAUAACCAAAAGAUGGAAAUUGCUGGUAUCUAGGGGGAUUCCUCUCUCUCUCUCUCUCUCUCUCUCUCUCUCUCUCUCUCUGUCUCUCUGUCUCUGUCUCUCUCUCUCUCUCUCUCUCUCUCUCUCUCUCUCUCACACACACACACACACACACCCCUAAUGGAGUGGUUUAGAUGGAGCAUGACAACUUCUUGACUUCUUAAGCCAGCUUGUAAACUCAGAACUGGCACACAUCAUUUGUUCUAUAGAAAAACCAACAGAGACCCAUGUCCUUAAAGAAAAAGAGAGUUCUGAAAUCCUCAUGCGUGAAAUGAGACUUACAUUGGUGAACAUGGGUCCCCCCUCUUGAAGUUAGAGGAAAGUGAACUAGGAAUUUAGUAGUGCUCUAGCUGGCUGGCUGAAUUGUCAAGAGUCAUUAAAACACAGGCAUCUUAAGUGGUAGAUCCACAAUAACUUGCUUUGUUUAUUGUUGCUUUUGAUGACCAAAAAAUACGAAGGCUUUUGUGUGAGGCAAACACUCAGUAGGUCUGAAAAUCAUUGACUGUUGAACUCUACAUUUCACACGUUGGAUGCCUAGCUCAUUCAUCCCCAAGGCCAUUGUUAUCACUUCUCUGCUGCUUCCUAGAAAGGAAGUAACUUGUUGGAAAAACGGGAAGAACAGAUAUUCCAACAGGAAAUGAACCCUCGACUUGAUCAACCAGGUCAAGUCAUGGGCUCAUGACCAACAAGCCAGGUCAAAGUCAUGUCAGAGACAAAACAACUCCAGUCAUUAGUCUUGUCUCUUUCAAAGGCUAUCUCCAUGUGCGCUGGAGGUCUGGUAAUUCUAAGGAAAGUUUGCUCCAGUCCACACUUCCUCGCUCUUCACUGCUUCCGGUUCCGUGGAUGCUUUCGUCCUUGCUGAACAGCAGUGUGUGUCUUUCAAGUCAUCCUGCAGGCCACAAGUUCUCAAGCAGGGAAGCAUCUGAGAGGCACACGCUUGCUUUUUCAAAGCACAUAUGUCUGAGACUAACGCCACUGCACUUCAGUUUCUCUCCGGGGACCAUGGGAUGUGGAGGUGGGUGGGCUGGUGUAUAUUUCUUAAGCAUAUCUCUGCUUAACUAAUCACUUUUGUGAUUAGUAAACUUUCAAACUUCAUAGAUGGAAUUAUAGAAUUAUCUCUGGGGGGAAAUGAUAACUUUUGUUUUUUUAAGUAUUGACAAGCAAGUAAACAAAAAUAAAUAA
rnacentral:lncRNA from 1 species